GGUUGUGUAGUGUAGUGGUUAUCACUCCAGAUUUUGAUAUAUACAUGUAUCACAAAUCACCUUCUGGUAUCCUGGGUUCGAAUCCCAGCACGACCU